CACCUACCUUCUCUCCUUCCAUCCCAUCUCAACCGUCCUUUCCUCUUAACUUACCGCCUUGAUCCUUCUCUUUUCUUCUUUCCUUUUACUCCUCCCUUUUACUCUCUCCAUUUUUUUUUUCACCAAAAAAAAAAAAACAAAAAAAACUACUUCAGUUUUAAAUUUCUUGAAAACAUGUGUUGUCAAGAACGACGCACUUAUCGUACUUAAGAUCUUAACUGCAGUUCUCACGAACUCUGAUCUAAUCUCAUCCACAUGAACGUUGAAUCUAUUGUUGCGCCUCUCGUCAUUAGAUUUAUUAUAAAUUGCAGUCUCACUCAACUUGUUGGAUCAAUUCAUCAAACUAUACAUAUUAAUCUUCUUGACUUAUUAUCAUGUAACAUGAAGUUAGAUUUAUUUUAGUUAAUAAGAAAUAGCCAACAUUAAUAUAAUCAACUAAAAUCUCGAUGGUUGGUAUUCUAAAUUUUAAAUUUUAAGUUUAACUACUUCUAAUUUCUAGUCGAGUUUAUUUUUUUAAAAAAAAAAUUGGAUAGCUCGCUAUCUCUCUCUCAAAAUAAUAAUAAAAACAUAAACUUUAAUUUGCCUCCAUUUUGUCACGCCGUAUUUUAAAAAAUUACCCUUAACUAUUAUGUGAUUUUAUUUUUAUUUCGACGAAAGAAAUCUACCGUUAGAGACGGUAGUACAAUAAAAUUUUUUGAAAACCACAUCGUGAUAUUCUGUUUAAUAAUAAAUUUUGAUAAUAAAAUAAAAAUAAAAAUACAGAAUGAUUAUUUAAAUCACACAAU
rnacentral:lncRNA from 1 species